rnacentral:rRNA from 1 species
AUUGAACGCUGGCGGAAUGCUUUACACAUGCAAGUCGAACGGCAGCACGGACUUCGGUCUGGUGGCGAGUGGCGAACGGGUGAGUAAUAUAUCGGAACGUGCCCAGUCGUGGGGGAUAACGUAGCGAAAGUUACGCUAAUACCGCAUACGAUCUACGGAUGAAAGCGGGGGAUCGCAAGACCUCGCGCGAUUGGAGCGGCCGAUAUCAGAUUAGGUAGUUGGUGGGGUAAAGGCUCACCAAGCCAACGAUCUGUAGCUGGUCUGAGAGGCCGACCAGCCACACUGGAACUGAGACGCGGUGCAGACGCCUACGGGAGGAAGCAGUGGGGAAUUUUGGACAAUGGACGCAAGUCUGAUACAGCCAUUCCGCGUGCAGGAUGAAGGCCCUCGGGUUGUAAACUGCUUUUGUACAGAACGAAAAGGCUCUUCCUAAUACGGAGGGCUCAUGACGGUACUGUAAGAAUAAGCACCGGCUAACUACGUGCCAGCAGCCGCCGUAA